rnacentral:rRNA from 1 species
AUUGAACGCUGGCGGCAUGCCUUACACAUGCAAGUCGAACGGCAGCACGGGAGCGAAUCCCUGGUGGCGAGUGGCGAACGGGUGAGGUAAUAUAUCGGAACGUGACCCGGUCGUGGGGGAUAACGUAGCGAAAGCUACGCUAAUACCGCAUACGAUCUACGGAUGAAAGCGGGGGAUCGCAAGACCUCGCGCGAUUGGAGCGGCCGAUAUCAGAUUAGGUAGUUAGGUGAGGUAAAGGCUCGACCAAGCCGACGAUCUGUAGCU